rnacentral:misc_RNA from 1 species
UUCGGUUUCCUGUGUUGCUUACCUAUCGAAAGGAACCCGACGGUCUCGUUCGUCCCCCUCCGCCCCCGGCCCUCGCGGGUUGUGGGGUGGACGUCAGGCACGCACCGUGUUCCCGGCAAGCCUCGCCGAGUCGCUUGGCCGCCUCGGCCCACGGUGUGCUAUGCCCGUUCUCUCGGAUGCUGAACGUUAUGCGCGGGCGUGGGGUCUGUCACAGACUCCGUCUGCCCGAGCAACGCAUUUUGUCCCUCGACGCGAACGACCGUCGUGCCCGUCUUGAGCCCGCGGCCUCACGGCCCGUCGGGCGUCAUGCGGGCGUCGGCGUCGCGAAGGAACGCUACCUGGUUGAUCCUGCCAGUAGUCAUAUGCUUGUCUC